rnacentral:tRNA from 1 species
GCCGGGGUGCCUGAGUGGUCGAAAGGGCCGGCCUCGAGAGCCGGUAACGGCUCCACCGUUUCAAGGGUUCAAGUCCCUUCCCCGGCG